UCACCACCAAUUCAACUUCCUCCAUGCCUCCCUAUUUUUGUCCUCUCUGAAAAACACAGACAAGCAACGUUCAACAGCCAACAUUCAACGAUCAAGGAGGAUGACCAUUGUUUUGCUCUCCUUAUACUUUUUGAUUCUUGCCUCCAAACCUCUAGACUCACGGUUUCAAUUGAAGGGCCGAAAAGACUUGUUCUCCAAUCGAAAGGGUGUUUCCUACAAUUUUGGCGUAGAAAACAAUUGAUUUGAUGAUGGCGUCAAACACUUGGAACUUUAAGUCUUCAACACCGGUAGCAGGAGGAUUUGUUUGAUUUGAAUUGGACUUGGAUUUGAGGAAGAAAGCUCUU